rnacentral:rRNA from 1 species
AACGCAAUAAGUAUCCCGCCUGGGGAGUACGGUCGCAAGACUGAAACUCAAAGGAAUUGACGGGGACCCGCACAAGCAGCGGAGCAUGUGGUUUAAUUCGAAGCAACGCGAAGAACCUUACCAAGGCUUGACAUCCCUUGACCGCCAUGGAAACAUGGCUUCCCUUCGGGGCAAGGAGACAGGUGGUGCAUGGUUGUCGUCAGCUCGUGUCGUGAGAUGUUGGGUUAAGUCCCGCAACGAGCGCAACCCUUAUCAUUAGUUGCCAGCGGGUAAUGCCGGGAACUCUAAUGAGACUGCCGGGGAUAACUCGGAGGAAGGUGGGGACGACGUCAAAUCAUCAUGCCCCUUAUGUCUUGGGCUACACACGUGCUACAAUGGCCGGUACAGAGGGCUGCAAACCCGUGAGGGGGAGCGAAUCCCAAAAAGCCGGUCUCA